rnacentral:rRNA from 1 species
GACAGAGGUGCCAAGCGUUAGGCGGAAUCACUGGGCGUAAAGAGUGUGUAGGCGGUGCUCCCAGUCUGUUGUGAAAUCUCCCGGCUUAACUGGGAGGGUGCAGCGGAAACUAGAGUGCUAGAGGGUGGGAGAGGUAAGCGGAAUUCCUGGUGUAGCGGUGAAAUGCGUAGAUAUCAGGAGGAACACCUGUGGUGUAGACAGCUUACUGGACCACUUCUGACGCUGAGACACGAAAGCGUGGGUAGCAAACAGG